AUGCAAUCUCGAUGUUUACUAAUUAUCUGUGUAUGAAUCUAGCCCUUCCUCGUCUGCUCUGAAUCUGCGUGUUUUGCUUGCUGCUUUGUAGGAGUCUCACCCUUUCUUCUGUCAAAUUUGGAACAACUUCAUGGCCUGAUCAAGAGAAAAACUCUGGUUACUCUGUUUUCACGAAUUACUAUCUAACUGUAAGUCUGUUCUAAACCCUAAGCCCCUGUAAAUCUGAUGUAAGAUUAAGCUAUUUAACUUUUUUUUUGCGAAAUAAGCUAUUUAACUUUAACUUAAAAGAAUAAUAUGCUCUCAGUUGCUUUAAUCCGUCAGACCUAAAAAAUAGAUAUACUUUGCAAGCUUGAUGUAUGAGUAUGUAACUGAAGGAGUAUGACUUUUCUUAUUCCAUUUAAAAAGACACAAGGUUUGUUAGCCCUUUGAAAUGGUUAUGACAUAAAGCAGGCUGGGGCAUAGAUUUGGGUGACAUAAAUUUAUGACUUGCUCAGAAAUGGCAAACAGAAUUCCCAGCCAUUGAUCAGUUGAGAGCUUAUGCAAGAACUAUUUUAGAAGAGUUUUUAUUUAGCAUGGCCAAACAAAUAGUUGGGAUGAAAACGACUUUCUCUGUUAAGACAAACAAGAAACAAAUGAGAAAAGCUUUAGAGAUAGCCAGGGGCGCAGCUCAGUCUUUUAUAGUUGCUAUAGAAAACAACCAUGAGUACUCCCUCCUCCUUUUUCUGGGCUUGGGACCAGCUAUGCAUUCAGAUGACAUAGGCGGAGUUAUCUACUCCUACUUACACACCUAGAAAAACAAGAGCACACUACAUUUUAGAAAUAAUUCUUUUAAAAAAAUUUCUUGGUGUUUUUUCUAUUAUUGUUUUGAUGCCAUUUUCACCUUUUGAAAAAGAUACUGAAAUAGUAGUGCAUAUACACACAUACCCUUUUCCUAUUUUUUUUGUGCUUUUACUUUUUGAAUUCCCUUUUUUUGUCUUUUGAUCUUGAAGGAACAACAUAUAUAAUACACACACGCAUACACAUCUUUUUCUAUUUUUUUGUUUUUCCAACUUUUUCAUAUCUUUUACAUACCUAGGAUUUAAGGAUGGGAAACAAAUACACACGGCAGCCGGGGCAAUGUUGCACAAAAUUUUGCUGACCUACAAAGUAAAAUUAGUAUGAGAAUUGUGAUCAUUGUAAACAAACAUAGCAUGCUAACAAAAAAAGCUAUUGCAACUCAGAGUACAAUAUGUUCUAGCCUCGUAUCCGCUUGCUACUAAUCUGAUCUUAGUGUUUGCUGAAGUAGCGUUCCUAGCUGGCUUCAUCGACGAGCUUAUAACUACAUUGUCUCUGAAGGGAUCGAGAAUUUUUCCGGUGAAUUGGAGUGGCUUACUUAACUGGCUAAACUGAGCUAAGUGGCCUAGCUGGAUGUGAUACACAGGUUUUUUAUUCCCAUCACGGAGUGAUUUCUGUACAGUACAACUGCAAGGGCGUCAAUUAAUUAACCAUCCUUGAAGCGCAAUGCCGGCUUAUGGUUCACCAUGCAUGGCAGGAAG
rnacentral:lncRNA from 1 species